CCUACGGGAGGCAGCAGUGGGGAAUUUUGGACAAUGGGCGCAAGCCUGAUCCAGCUAUUCCGCGUGUGGGAAGACGGCCUUCGGGUUGUAAACCACUUUUGUAGAGAACGAAAAGUCUAUUGAUAAUACCGAUAGACGAUGACGGUACUCUAAGAAUAAGCACCGGCUAACUACGUGCCAGCAGCCGCGGUAAUACGUAGGUGGCAAGCGUUGUCCGGAUUUACUGGGUGUAAAGGGCGUGCAGCCGGGCUGACAAGUCAGAUGUGAAAUCCCGCGGCUCAACCGCGGAACUGCAUUUGAAACUGUCAGUCUUGAGUACCGGAGAGGUCAUCGGAAUUCCUUGUGUAGCGGUGAAAUGCGUAGAUAUAAGGAAGAACACCAGUGGCGAAGGCGGAUGACUGGACGGCAACUGACGGUGAGGCGCGAAAGCGUGGGGAGCAAACAGGAUUAGAUACCCUAGUAGUC
rnacentral:rRNA from 1 species